GAUGAACGCUGGCGGCGUGCUUAACACAUGCAAGUCGAACGAAGCACUUUAUUUGAUUUCCUUCGGGACUGAUUAUUUUGUGACUGAGUGGCGGACGGGUGAGUAACGCGUGGGUAACCUGCCUUGUACAGGGGGAUAACAGUUGGAAACGGCUGCUAAUACCGCAUAAGCGCACAGCAUCGCAUGAUGCAGUGUGAAAAACUCCGGUGGUAUAAGAUGGACCCGCGUUGGAUUAGCUAGUUGGUGAGGUAACGGCCCACCAAGGCGACGAUCCAUAGCCGGACCGAGGAGGCGAGCGGGGAAAGUGGGGGGGGGAAAGGGCCCAGACAGCUACGGGAGACAGCAGAGGGGAAGAGUGCACAAUGGGCGGAAGACGGAUGCAGCAACGCCGCGUGCGGGAAGAAGGCCGUCGGGUUGUAAACCACGUUCGCCUGUGACGAAGCGGGAGGGACGGUAAUGGACAAAGGAGCACCGACGAACGACGUG
rnacentral:rRNA from 1 species